GCUGGGAAAUUCUUUAUGAUGAAAACAAGCAUGGGCAUAAUGUGGAAUACACUCUAACAGGUGCAUGCAUUUUACGGUAAAAUACAAGGUGCUGUAUCAGGGAGACCUAUCCCCCUCCCUUUCUUUAGGCUGGGGCGCUCCUCUCUUCUCUGCCUUUAGGAAUGUUUCAGUGCGCAUGAUGUUAAACACUGCCACUGGCAUCACACAGAAUUAGGUUUUCAUUCAGGCUCUGCUCCAUCAUUUUCUAGCUGUGUGAUUUUUGAGCAAAUGGUCUGAGCUCCUUGGACCUCAGUGGUUUUUUGAGGAUCAAUGUUUUAUAAAAAGCUUUUGUCACAUACAUGGUAGCUUUUAUGCAUGUUUUGAAGAAACACAUUUGUGGGAGGGAUGGCUAGAAGGAGGAUGGGUGGAUGAUGGGUGGAGGAUGGAUUGAAGAUGGAGGAUGGAUGGAUGGAGGAUGGAUGGAUGGAGGAUGGAUGGAUGGAGGAUGGAUGGAGGAUGGAUGGAUGGAGGAUGGGUGGAGGAUGGAUGGAUGGAGGAUGGAUGGAUGGAGGAUGGAUGGAUGGAGGAUGGAUGGAUGGAUGGAAUAAGGAACAAGGCAGUCUUGUCACAUCAAAAAAGGCACGUAUUCCCUUUGACACUAGUAAUGUGCCAUUCUAUAGCAUUCUAUAGCACCCUUGAAGCACUUUCAUAUUCACACUGAAAUCAAAGACAGUAGAGCCAUCCCAAGUCUACCUUUGAGAAAAAAACAAAACAAAACAAAAAAAUUGGACUUCAAGAAAUGCCCAGAGUCAUAGAAAAAGUGAGAUUGGUCAUCUUGAGAUUUGAACCAGCACCUGGUUCAGCAUCUCUAACCCAGAGCUUGGGGACUUGUUGGUGGGAAGAAGAAGGCAUACCUUUCAAACUGCUGCCUUUCUGAGCUGUGUACAGCCUGUUAAUUUAACCUGUAUGUCUUAAGUCCCAGAGUCCUCGUUUCUGGGGCAACACACAAGUCCUUCCCUUUACUUGUUGAGAAGCUGAUACAAAAGAUGAGCUCUACUCUCCUUCAAAUGUAUAGACACACACAACUUUGGCUUCAGGAAGCCCCCCCCCACCAUGCCCCCUCAGGCGCUCAGGUUCCCUCUACAGCGACCACCCUGAGCCUGACCAACUGCAGAAACCACAAACCCAUCACCUCCAGCAGACCAGUGGAAACAGUAUAACCCAACCCAACAAACCCCAGCCACUCCAACCAGUGACAGCCUACCCUCCCAACCCUGCAAGCAUCCACAUUCGAACAAGUUUUAUCCCUCAAAAUACAUCCAAAGUCAAACCGUCCGUUUCCCUCUCAGAGUUUCAUAAGUCUUGGUGGAGAUGAGAAUUGAGGUUAUCUGUGUUUUGGAAAUCAAAAUUGCCAGUGUGUUAGUUAAUAGGACAGGGUGGAGACCCAUAAAUAGGGUAAUACAAUACACAGGUUACCUAGAAUUGACUGCCUUCACCAAAGGCAAUGCCUUUGUUGUCAUGAAAGCCCAGAUCAGCCACAAAAGAUAAAGAACCAGACUGGCAGCUGAAGAAAACAUGGUGAGGCCAUUCAGUUUGCAUGUUCAUCCAACCGUCACGUACCGAGCACCCGCUGUGUGCCAGGCACUAUCCUAGGCCCCUCAGAUACAUCGGAGACUAAGACAGAAAAAUCCUUGCUCUGAAUGUCAUCUUUGAGCUAACAUUCUAGUAGGGAGAUGGGCAAAUACCAGUAAAUGGAGAAAUAAAUGAACGUGUAGUAUGCUAGAAGGCAACAGUGCUAUGGGGAAAAAAAGUUGAGCAGGAUAGAGCGUGUGUGUGACAGAGGAAGCAAGUUGCUCUAUUAAACUCAGAUCAGAAAAUUGGCACUGAAGGUGACAUUUGAACAAGACUUGAAAUCAAAGAGACCACACACACGUCUUGACCACGAAUCUUGAAGCCAAGAUGAUGCCAAUGACAAUACGAAAUGGCUAACAUUCACACUUUCACUCAAAAGAUAUUUAUCGAGUGCACUGAGAGCUAGGUGCUUUGAGCUAGUCUUAGUAACGAUCCCCAAAGAUAUCCAGGUGCUAAGCCCUGGAACCUGUGAUGUCACCUAUACGGCAGAAGGGCCUUCAUAGAUGUCACAAAGUUAAGGAUUUAAAGAUAGAGAAAUUACCCUGGAUUAUCCAGUGGGCCCUAAAUGUAACCCUAAGUGUCCUUCUAGGAGGGAGGCGGGGGAGAUUUGACUAUAGGAGGGGAAAGUGAUGUGAUAAUGAAAGCAGGGAGAACAUGGUGAGGUGAGGUGGGACCACCAGCUGAGGAAUAAGGGAGCUGGAAAAGGCAAGGAAACGGACCCUUGCCUGGAGGCUCCAGAGGGAAGCUCCCCUUCUGACACCUUGAUUUUAUUCCCGUAAGACUCAUUUUAGACUUCUGACCUUCAGAGCUUAAGAAUAAAUCUCUGUUGCUUUAUGCCUCCAAGCUCAUGGUAAUUUGUUACAGCUGCCCUAGGAAACUAACAGCGCUAUUUUAGAUGGGGCAGUAGUGCAGAGCACUGAUGACAAUCCCUGCCCGUUGACUGUUCCCUCUGCCUGGUGUUGCCCACGCCCUUGAUAGUAGGAUCCUCUGUGAGCACAUCAACCCCAGAAGACGGUUUCUAUUUGAAUUAAGACCAUGUAACUCGACUAUCUUGUUCUUUACCCUUUGGAGGGUCUUCUGAUCAUACCUGGUUAGACGGUUUGUUGUGCACUGGCUAUUUUGGGCAUGCCCGUGAUCUGCUUAUGUCAUCUCUAAUGCCACAUGUCCCCUGGGUGGACUGGAUUACUCUGGGUGCCUGGGCCACUGACCCCUUCCUUUCUGACCACUCCAGGAUCACUUUCCAAAGAGAGGAGGACCAGCCUUCACUCAAGGGUUUACAUGUAGCAUCCUUUGCAUGAACGGCCUACGUAAUCUUAGCCAACUCAGGUGGUGUAACUAAGUGGCAGACACUUCUUCUAAGGGCUAUAAAAACAUUAUUUAAUUCUCACUGUAGCCCCAUAAGGUGGGUUCUAAUAUUAGUCCUAUUUCACAGAUCAGGAAACAGAAGCACAGGGAAGUUAAAAUAACUUAUCGAAGGUCAUAUGACUAGUGAGGAUUUCCGGGAGCACAGGUUCAAGCUCUUGACUAUAUUUAAGGCUCAUUAAUAAAAUAGCUAAAAUCUACUGAGCAACCGCUAUGUGUCAAGAAAUCUUCAUUUAAGUUUCACAACCUCUUGAAUGGGAGACAAGCACUACCUCUAUUUAUGGAUGGCGAAACUGGGGCAUCAUCGGGUUUCAAGAGGAUCAGAAUCCAGGCAGCGAGGCUGGAGCCCCUGUUCUUACCUCUUGUGUUGUUCUUUAAUGAAGCACCCACUGUUUCCCAGUUACUAUCCUGAGUCCCGAGGUGAAGAAGUGAGUAAGAUUAAGACAAGAGAAGUCGUAAAGGAGUUAGACUUGGGAGUCUCAGGAACCAUCUGUGAUCUUGGGCAAGUCACCUAACUGUUCGGAGACCCAGUUUUCUCACCCAUUAAAUGAGAAUGGUACCAGGACCUACCUCAGGCCUGUUGUGAGGAUUACGUGACAACCAGCACUUAGUGUGAGUUGUCAAUACGUGUCAGCUGUUGUUACACUGUUACUCUUAUAAUAAGCCCUUAAUUACAGAAGAUGCCCAAACAAUGUAAACAUCACUGUUCCUCCCACAUUCAUUCUGAUGGCAAUUUAAAGAACCCUGAACUAGGCUAAGACCUCCUGCUUGCCCAGCCUAAGUGGCAGACUGAAGACACAAUCAGAGGACCCAUGCCUUUCACUGGUCCCAAGCUCCUGGAAUGGGUUAGCCUUUCAAGGAACACCAGUCACGCCCAGCCCUCCUGGGACACAGUGGAGGUACCUAAGAGAAGAAAGCCCUGGAAAGUCCUACCGGGGGCUAUGACUCUGAACUGAGCGUGCCUAUGCUGGGCUCCCCGGGAACUUUGCCAGGGCCCAGGGAUGAAUGGGUGGGCAGAUGCUGAAUCUCUACUGGCUGAGGCUUCCAUCUUGGUUUCCUUGUCUCUGAACCAAGGCCUUGCUGAGACCAGCAGAGAGCUGCUCAACAGCUGCUUCUCACUGGUUGAAGGGAAUAUCUUCUGGGAAUGAUGGAGGAAAAGGAGAUACUUUUUUUUUUCUGUCUGGAGGCUUUAUCAACCUUAAAUCAUGACUUUUAUGCUGGGACAAAUGGGCAUCCAUGUGCAAAAAAAAAAAAAAAAAAAAAAAAAAGGUAUGACUCCAACCUCUUGGUGUAUACAAAAAUUAACUCAAAAUUGAUCAUAGACCUAAAUGUAAGAGGUAAAUUAUAACAUUCAUAGUAGCAAAUAUAGGAGUAAAUCUUUGGGACCACAGAUUAAGUAAUGGUUUCUUAGGACAUUAAAAGUAGAAGAGAUAAAAGAAAACUUAGAUUGAACUGGACUUCAUUAAAAUUUUAAAACUUUUGUACUUCAAGGAGUUCCCAUCAGGGUGCAGCGGAAACAAAUCUGACUAGGAACCAUGAGGUUGCAGGUUCAAUCCCUGGCCUCAUUCAGGGGGUUAAGGAUCCAGUGGUGCCUAUCAUGAGCUGUGGUGUAGGUCGCAGACACAGCUUAGAUCUGGAGUUGCUGUGGCUCUGGUGUAGGCUGGCAGCAACAGCUCCGAUUAAAUCCCUAGCCUGGGAACCUCCAUUCGCCAUGAGUGCGGCCCCAAAAAGGCAAGAGUCCAAAAAAACAAAACAAAACAAAAACCAACCAAACAAAAAACCCACAAAAAAUUUUUGUGCUUCAAAAGGCACCAUCAAGAAAAUGAAAAGACUACCUACCCACAGAAUGGGAAAAAAAUACUGCAAAGCACAUAUUUGAUGAGGGUUUUAUAAUAUAUUAGUAUAUAUAAAGAACCCUUAUGACUCAAUGAUACCCCCCCAAUAUCCCCAUUUAAAAACAGCAAAAGCCCUAGUUUCAAGGUUAACCCUCUUCCGCAGUCUAGAAACCACCUGGGACUCCCGCUGCCCUUCUUCCAGAUUGGAAAAUGUUCCUCGAUAUGCUCCACCAAUGCUAACGCUUAGUAAAUGGAUGUAAGGUAAAUGCACCCCACCCCCAACUGGCUUCAUAUGAAAUUAAAUACACUUUUUCUUUUGACAAGGUGAUUUAAUGUACGGGGUGCUGGGCAUUAUGCUAUACCUAAAAAUAUUGUACUAAAUAAAAGUCAUAGUGCUAGUGAGUAUUCACUAACAUAAAAUAAAAAAUAAAUAAAGAUGGCAAAGGAUUUGAGUAGGUAUUGCCCCAAAGACAAUACACAAAUGGCCAAAAAGCACGUGGAAAGCUGCUCUAGGUCAUUAGCUAUUAGGGAAACAGCAAUGCACGUCACCAUGAGACAGCACUUCAUUGCAUCUAGGAGGACUAAGAUCAAAACAGCAGACAGUGACAAACAGGAUGUGGACACAUGAAACUC
ensembl:lncRNA